ACUGCUCAGUAACACGUGGACAACCUACCCUCCGGACGGGUAUAAACCCGGGAAACUGGGUAUAAUCCCCGAUAGAUCUCGGUCGCUGGAAAGCCCCGAGAUCGAAAGCUCCGGCGCCAGAGGAUGGGUCUGCGGCCUAUCAGGUAGUAGUGGGUGUAGCGUACCUACUAGCCUACGACGGGUACGGGUUGUGAGAGCAAGAGCCCGGAGAUGGAUUCUGAGACACGAAUCCAGGCCCUACGGGGUGCAGCAGGCGCGAAAACUUUACAAUGCCGGCAACGGCGAUAAGGGGACCUCGAGUGCCAGGUUACAAAUCUGGCUGUCGUGAUGCCUAAAAAGCAUUGCAUAGCAAGGGCCGGGCAAGACCGGUGCCAGCCGCCGCGGUAACACCGGCGGCUCGAGUGGUAACCGUUAUUAUUGGGUCUAAAGGGUCUGUAGCCGGCCGGAUAAGUCUCUUGAGAAAUCCAGCAGCUCAACUGUUGGGCUUUCAGGAGAUACUGUCUGGCUCGAGGCCGGGAGAGGUGAGAGGUACUUCAGGGGUAGGGGUGAAAUCUUGUAAUCCUUGGAGGACCACCAGUGGCGAAGGCGUCUCACCAGAACGGACCUGACGGCAAGGGACGAAAGCUAGGGGCACGAACCGGAUUAGAUACCCGGGUAGUCCUAGCCGUAAACGAUACUCGCUAGGUGUCGGCCACGGUGCGACCGUUGUCGGUGCCGUAGGGAAGCCGUGAAGCGAGCCACCUGGGAAGUACGGCCGCAAGGCUGAAACUUAAAGGAAUUGGCGGGGGAGCACCACAACGGGUGGAGCUUGCGGUUUAAUUGGAUUCAACGCCGGA
rnacentral:rRNA from 1 species